rnacentral:lncRNA from 1 species
GGCUUCUUCCAGUCAACAUCACUUGAUUAAAUUCUCCUCAAAUUAAGUAACUGAAUUCUAGGUAUUUCAUGGUUAUUAGCAAUUUGUGAAUGUCACAAUGUCUCAUUGGAUCCAUAAAUUGGAAACAGUCAACUACAUAGAGGCCUAUAGGAAGAGUAUAUUAACCAACAUGAAAGCUAGUGUUAGAUUUAUUUGGCUCUAGUGUCAUCAAAACAAAAGUUGUGGGUGAAUAUACACUGCCCAUUUGAAUGUAUAGCUUGAGAAAAACAGGGACCACCACAUCUAGAAAUACUCAGCUCUCAUGGGCAUACAAAGAAAAGCUUUUGCAUGUUGGUGCUUUUCAUGUAAUGUUCAUUCUGUAAUCAAAGGCCAGGGGCUCAAAAUCAAGGUCGAAUUGUUCUGUCACAGGGAUAGAGUGGCUUUGGGCAAGCCCCUGGGGUGUCUGGCCUCCUCAUGUCCAUCUCUUAAAUGAAAAGGCAUGCCUCACAAGCUCAAACACUACAUUCUAACUCCUGUAGUCUGAGAGGUCAAAAUUUAGCAGCUCAUCUUCCCCUUGCCAGGGUGAAAGUAUGUUUCAAAACCUGCUACCUAUGUAGAAAACAUUUUCAUGAGCCUGUAAGCUAUCUACUGUCUCCUGAACAGAAACCAGCAGGUUUACCCCUAAGUUUGUUUAGAAUAAUGUUUAUUAUACUAAAAAUUAUAGAAGCAUCAAAUGCAAGUACAGUGGAAGUCCCCUCUGAGUGUGUUGUACUCGGUGAGCAUUCUCAAGAAAAAUAAAGCACUACCUGGAUGUAAAACUGGGGGUGGGUUCAGAAAGAAGAGUGCUGGCAAAGGCUCGCCUCUUUUGGUGU